UACGAAGGGGGCUAGCGUUGCUCGGAAUCACUGGGCGUAAAGGGUGCGUAGGCGGGUCUUUAAGUCAGGGGUGAAAUCCUGGAGCUCAACUCCAGAACUGCCAUUGAAACUGUUUAGCUUGAGGAUGAGAGAGGUGAGUGGAAUUCCCAGUGUAGAGGUGAAAUUCGUAGAUAUUGGGAAGAACACCGGUGGCGAAGGCGGCUCACUGGCUCAUUACUGACGCUCAGGCGCGAUAGCGUGGGGAGCAAACAGG
rnacentral:rRNA from 1 species